rnacentral:rRNA from 1 species
CCUACGGGGCGCAGCAGUGAGGAAUAUUGGUCAAUGGACGCAAGUCUGAACCAGCCAUGCCGCGUGCAGGAAGAAGGUGCUAUGCAUUGUAAACUGCUUUUAUACGGGGGUAAUUACAGAUACGUGUAUCUGGAUGAAAGUACCGUAUGAAUAAGGAUCGGCUAACUCCGUGCCAGCAGCCGCGGUAAUACGGAGGAUCCGAGCGUUAUCCGGAUUUAUUGGGUUUAAAGGGUGCGUAGGCGGUCAGGUAAGUUAGAGGUGAAAGCUCGAUGCUCAACAUCGAAACUGCCUCUGAUACUGUCUGA